UUGAGGACUGGGUCAGGAUCGGCUCCCCUGCCAAGGCGAAGGUGCACAAAGAGCAUGCCUCAGUGCCGUUCGAUGACCAGUGCUCCAUCCUGGAGAAGGUACGUACACCGUAUGUACACGCAUUGCAUGAAUGCAAUGAGUUGAUUUUGCUCACAAAAGGGACCUUGUAUUUUUCUGAAUGUUUCUGCAGGAGGCCGUGAACGUGUCCCUCGCCAACCUCAAGACUUACCCCUUCGUCAAGGAACGGCUGGCCAAAGGGACCCUCAAGCUGGUCGGCGCCCACUACGACUUCGUGUCCGGGAAGUUCCUCACAUGGGAGCCUGUAGGGUUCAUAACCUUCAUCCUUACAUUUUCAAUUGUACAUACUGUAUCUGAGACCACAUGGUUUUACCUCCUGGCACACUCCAGAUCCAAACUUCCUAUCCAUUUUCUCUCCUUCCUUGCCAUCGCAAUUAAUUUCUUUCUAAGAAGAACAAAAUCACCACCAAAUCCAACCACAACACUUGAAAUCCGCCCCAUGCAUAGCACUUGAAACCAGCCCCAACAUCUUAAUUGACCUACUUCUCAUCUUCUUCGGAUAUAAGAAGAUUGAACCCUAUCUCCACCGCAAAUACAUAUAUCGCGUUCACCCGCUACAAACUUCUAGUCCAGUUGUCGCCUGGUCCUCUAUCCGCUUCAAUUAGGCUUGCCGUUGCAUCGAAUUUCUAACCUCGUUGGUGCACCAGGCUCGUCUGUGGUGAUGGAUAUGAGGCCAUGGCCAUCGAGGUCCAUCUACCACAAAGAUGCCACUGCCUUUUUCCAUGGCCACCAUGGUUUGCCGAAUCAGUUGUCCCCCGAGGAAGCAAUCAUCAUGUUGGAGUCGUUCUUCUCUACAAAACGUGCUCAAGUAGCCAUCGACAUUCCGCUUAAGCGAUAUAUAUUGUCCACAAAAGCUGUGCUUGACCGUUACUCAUUUUUCAUCAAAUCCCGCGUUGUGCGGUGUCUCUUUCUCUCACUAAAACGAUUGCACAUGUCAUCAUGUUGAUGUUGCUAGUAAUCUAGACAAUGGGGCAGCUCAAAAGGUGAACGAGAGAGAUAUAGAGAGAAAGGGAGGGAGGGAGGGCCACACCGCAUCUAUCCAUCUGACUAUAAGGGGGCAAAAGAAGAAAAGAGGAGAAGAUGAGAAGUUGCAUUUGCCUCCCUGUUAUAUAUCAAAGGAGGGUCAAUGAAGCCGUCCAUAGAUUCCCACACCUCGUCACUCCUUGAGAACCAGAAGCCCACCCCAUCCAGUCCAAGGUCCGUUCCCUCAUCCUCCUCCCUCACCCUCGCCAUCAUCCUUCACAUAGCACACACAGUAAUCUUUGUCCGUCCCUCUGUUUUCUUUUCCUCUAUUGCCAUCAUGAGCCUGCAACUUCUGCUUUCUCCCUAUGUUGUAUUGUGUUGGUGCAAAGAAGAUCCAUCUUCCCCUUUUUGAUCAUAUUUUAUGCAUGCUUUCCUUAUGGUCCGUGGCAAGGAGGCCAAGCAUUGGCAUCAUGCCCCUUCUAUCUCUCUCUACCCCCUCAUGCCCCUUCUCUUUCUCUCUCUACCCCCGUCAUGCUGCAUCACGAUCAUGAGUAUGCAAGUUGGUCUUUCCGGGAUGGCAAAAUGACCGAUGGUUUUCUGGUUGUUGGUCUUGUAGGUGAUGGACGCCGUUGACCGCUUGAAGAGCGGGUUCGAGCAGUUCAAGAUCGAGGUCUAUGAGUAAGUCAUCUCUCUACUUAGAGCUGUUGUUUUUUUAAUUUGUAGCACCCAUGUUUGGUUUAAUAUUUUCAGUUUCAACCACUUGAUUUAUUUUGGGAAUUCUGAGAGCUCCGACUGAUACUGCCAUGUUGUCUUUUUUCUGCAGCAAGAAGCCAGAGCUUUUUGAGCCUCUCAAAUCUGGCCAGGCCCCCAGGGUAUGUGUAGGGAUGAAAAUGGAUCAAAUUUGUAUAGAAUCAAAUCCAUAUAUCACCUCUUAACACAUUUUUAUUCAAAUUCAGUUAUUGGAUACAUAUACUUUUGAAUACAAAUAUAAAACAAAUGUCUUGAAUCUGUAUUUCUAUUCAAAGAUUUACUCAAUUCAACUCAAAUUGUAUAUUGCUAAAUUCAACGUACAUGUAUACAAUUUUACUACUAAAUUCAUCGAUAAACCUUUUUUGCUUUAUCAAUUUUUUAGGUUUACAAACUAUUAUAUUGAAACAUUUGUGUAUAUAAUUUAAAAUGAAUGGUGACAGCUUGUCGCCAUUAGCGGCCAAUUGGCAAGUACUAGUAGUAGUCUGUUGGAUAUAAUCCCUCCAUCCUAAAUAUAUGCAGAAAUCAUCUAUUGAGGAGUAAUUCUUUUUUUCAGUUUAACUAAAAGUAUAAUUUAUUUCGAAAAAAUACUAAAUGCUCAAUCUAAUGAUAUUUAUUAUACACUAUAAACAUUAAUAUAUUUUUAAUAUAAAUAUAAUUAAAAUUUAAAAAUUUGAAGUUUCAUAAAGCGAGAUGUACAGUUAUUUUGGGACAAAAGAAAUAGUCCUAUAAUUAUUUUGUACUACAAAAGUCUGCUCCAUAGGGCACAAGCUUCAACUUUGGCACUACUAGUCAUAGGCUCAUUGCGCAAAGAAAUGGUGGUGGGAGUGGGAUACAUACAUGCUCCUUCUUUUCCCGAUCGAUCGACCUGAUGCUGAUUAUUUUCCUCUGCUGCAUGCAUGCAGUACAUGGUGUUCGCCUGCGCUGACUCCCGUGUGUGCCCGUCGGUGACCCUGGGCCUGAUGCCCGGCGAGGCCUUCACCGUCCGCAACAUCGCCGCCCUGGUCCCAGGCUACGACAAGGUACGUACACACUGACCGUCGUCGCCGACGACACAAAAUGGCCGUCUAUUUCUCCUCGGCCCGGCCGGCCGCCGCCGGCCGGGCAUGACAGAGGAUCGAGGACUGACACGGCCGCGCCUUUCGUAUUCGUCACCUGCAGACCAAGUACACCGGCAUCGGGUCCGCCAUCGAGUACGCCGUGUGCGCCCUCAAGGUGCAGGUGCUCGUCGUCAUUGGCCAUAGCUGCUGCGGUGGCAUCAGGGCGCUCCUCUCCCUCCAGGACGGUGCACCUGACAACUUGUAAGACGCCACCGUAAAAUAUACAAAGUUUCAUUAAGAUAAAACAAAAAUUCUUUUGUACCUCUAUGAUGAUUUUGAUCCCAGCGCAUUUUUAUCUGUUGUUUUUUUUGUGGUGUAUCCAGCCACUUUGUUGAGGACUGGGUCAAGAUUGGCUUCCCUGCCAAGAUGAAGGUGAAGAAAGAGAACGCUUCGGUGCCGUUCGAUGACCAAUGCUACAUUCUAGAGAAGGUAUGUACACCGUACAUGCACGAGCAGUUAGUUGCUGCAUGAAUGGAUUAAUUUUUGCUCACCGGAGAACCUUGUAUUUCUGAAAAUGUUUCUGCAGGAGGCCGUGAAUGUGUCCUUGGAGAACCUCAAGACCUACCCAUUCGUCAAGGAAGGGCUGGCCAACGGUACCUUAAAGCUGGUCGGCGGCCACUAUGACUUCGUGAAAGGAGAGUUCCUCACAUGGAAAGUCUAGAGCUAAGGCACCCGGACGGCCCAACUCCUACAUCAUCAUAAAUUUAUACCACAUAUAUACCUACCGAUAUGCACCCGAUCGAUGCGAAUGCGCGGAGUACUACAUGCAUGUUUUCAGCAACUACAUAUAUACAUACCGGAUCGCCCCAAUGUGAAUGUAAUAAGCAAUAGCAUUUUCAACCGCUUUCAUUUCUAACGCCGAGCUUUUAUGUACUAUAUAUAUAAUAUGAUGCAUAAUUGACCGGCUUGUGGUCAAAAGACAUCAACUAUAAUCCUUUUUUCAUAAUAUUGUUAUGAAGAGUUUACCUCUUUUUUUUGUCAUUAACGGAUCCAGAGAAACAGGCCAGGAGGGCAACACGCCAACACCCUCCGUCCUAAAAUAGAGUGCAUUCUGACAUUUAAGAUGUGUCCCAAAAUAUAGUACAUUCAAGGAACAUGAAGAUAAUAUUUACUUAAAUAAAGUUACGGAAGAGGAAAGUAAUUGAGUGCUUACUAUAUUUUCUAUAAGAAAACUUAGAUUGCAACCUUUAAUCAUACGAAUAAGAUCAUAUUUCAAUAUAUUAGAAAGUUAAGUGAGUAGUACAUGCGUCUAUUGUUUUUUCUCUCUCUCUCUUAUUUUGUCUUAAAUAGCCAUAACGCACUGUAUUGCAGAGCGGAGGGAGUACUUUGGAAGCAUCAAGAGCAAAAUCCAAGGAUGGAAAGCCCCAUAUGAACAACUAAGAUGAUAACUAGAAAUCAUACUCGCCAUACACGAGUACUUUGGAAGCAAGAAGAGCAAAAAUCCAAGGAUAGAAAGCCCCAUAUAAACAACUAAGAUGAUAACCAGAAUUCAUACUCGCCAUACACCAAUAGAUCUAACAAACAGCACUCAAUUCAAAAUGCUUAAUUAGACAAUACAUCAUUAAUGAUAGAAAGGUACUUAAUAAAUAGCUUCCGAUAAUUAAAUGAUCAAAUAUGUUUCACAAUUUCACACCACUUGAACAAGCAUCCUCCAAUCUACAUACAAAAUAAAAUAUCAUGGUUCUUCAAACAACAUGAUAAUAUUAUGGAUUGAAAUGAACUUAUACAACACACACCUUGGUCCCUUGUGUGGCAAAUUUAUCUACAAAUUCUUAAGACCUGUAAGCGGUUACACACUGUCCACACAUGUUCUACGCUUUAAUCAAUUUGAUUGGUUAUCAAACCAUUAUUGAACAAAACCUCUUGAUUAACUUUUAGUUUUACUCUCUUUUGUUGUUCUUUUAGUUUUACCCUCUUUCGUCUAGAGACGACGACUCCUUUCCCUAUUUCUCGCGAGGAUUCCUCUAUUAGGGGACAGAGAUAAGACCAAAUUAACCCCCAUAGGUAACUAAACAGAACCAAAUCUAUCCACUUGUAUCUACUGGGGCUGGGGCCGGGAAGCUUUCCUCGUACCUGCUCCUUGUCAAGCCCUCUUUAGCCGACUCUUCAUCUAGCUAUCAAUCUGACACAAUUGCAUCCAUCCAUCUUUGAUUCUUAUCUUAUACUAGAUAAUGGCUCGUGUAUUGUUGUGCACACACAAAAUUUUAAUCGAAUAACUUUUUUUACCAAAAUGAACUAAAAUAAACUUUUAUAUAGGUAUAAAAUUUAAAUUCAGCAUGACAUAGAAUUACCUAUAUUUCAAGUUUUGAGAUCCUUUGCAAUUGAAAAAAAAGGUAUUACACUUUAAUAAACCGUACGUAUCCACAUAUUGUGUUUUGGUGGGGUUCGAAGCAGAAUCCAUGGUGACCUUUGUGUUACAAGCAUUUUAACACCGACCUAGAUAUCAAAAAUCAAGUCCAAAAUAGUAAAAUUGACCAUAACAGUUGGAAUAAAAACGCAGCUUUAGCUUGAAAUAACUUGCAGGUAUUCAUGAUCAGAUUGAUCAAGAUAUUCAUGAUCAAGGAACGCACAAGGAAAAUGCUGAGUACAACCAAACUUGUACAGUUGUACUUAAGUAACAAUGACCUAUACAAUUGACUUAUACCAUUGACUUUUACCUGUACAGUUGCAAUCAAGUAUGGUACUUAUUUGAAAACAUAGCAAUCCAUUUCAAUGUAAAUGUAUUGAACCUUGAAAAAUAAUUUCGAGGAUUACAUAGUACAACAUAGACGUCUACAACAUGCACGCAUACUCACACUAAUGAAUACACAUACGCAAACCAUACUCAUAUGAGCAUCUCCGAAGAAUUAAGCUGACAGAUCAUCUCGAGAUUCACAAAGUCAUUAAAGGCGUCUCGUUCUCGACGGGGACGUCACCUACCACUGGAAACAUAGCGUCGUUAAAUCUUGAAAUAAAUUUAGAAAAACAUGAGCACCCAUGCUAAGUCGACGAGGUGUUUGGGACUGCUCUGCUCCACUUUUUUCAGCUCCGCUCCACGUUUUUUAGCCAAACGGUUUCAGCUCCACGCACUGAGUUCGAGAAAAAAAAGUGGAGUUGUGAGAGCACCUAAAGAGGUACUCCACGAACUCCAGUUUUUUGUAGAGCUACUUCAUAGUGGAGUUUGUGAAGCAGAGUUCGUGGAGCAGUGCCAAACACCCCCUUAAACCUAGAUGGACAAGUUAACGUGAAAAAAUAGUUUAAUUUGCACUCCAGUCUUAUAGAUUUUUUUUGCGAGGACCAAUCUUAUAGAUCUAUAGUAAUUGAUUUUAUCUAGACAAUGUCUAAUAUUGCCACGUAGAACAAAUUAGCACCACCAGCAGAGAAACUUUAGAAAGAAGAUAUAUAAAUCAUAAGUUAUUCUAACUUUUUAAGUCAAAGCAUAUUAGUUGACCAAUUUUAUAGAAAAAUCUUAAAAGUUUUAUGAUAUUAAAUAGGUAUAUUAUAAAAAUAUAAUUAAUAAAAAUUUUAAUAAUACUUAUUUAAUAUUAUAAAGGUUUUAUAUUAUAUAAUAAAUUUUGUUAGAUUUGAGGUGAGUUGGAAUAAGUUAUAAUUUAGAAUGGAUAUUGUAGCUAGUAGAAGUACUCCCUCUAUUCUUGAAAGAUACAAUUUCUAGAGUUGUCUUAAAUCAAACUUUUAAAACUUUAACCGAAUUUCUAGAAAAAAGGUUAAGAUUUAUAGUAGUAAAUUGAUACCAUUAGAUCUAUCAUAGAAUAUAUUUUUAUAAAAUACUUAUUUUAUGAUAUAAAUAUUGAUGCUUUUUUGUAAAGAUCAUUAAAUUUUAAAAAAAUUAACCAACACGAAUUCUAGAAGUUGAAACUUUCAAUAAGGUCUUGUUUAGUUCACCCCAAAAACCAAAAUCUUUUCAAGAUUCCCCGUCACAUCGAAUCUUAUGGUACAUGCAUGGAGUAUUAAAUAUAGAUAAAAAUAAAAACUAAUUGUACAGUUUACCUGUAAAUCACGAGAUGAAUCUUUUAAGCCUAGUUACUCUACGAUUGGAUAAUGUUUGUCAAAUAAAAACGAAAAUACUACAGUUCCGAAAAUUUUUCAGUUUUCGAAACUAAACAAGGGCUAAAGAGUAGUGUUUAUGACAAAAGGAAAAAAAAAAAGAUCGGCACUUGGCACCCGGCCACCCGCCCUCCACCCUAGGCCCGACGCGACCCGACCCCCACCUAGACCGGUCUCGGUCGGACUCUCGGCGUCUCUCGCCACGCGCGGGCGCGCCGCAAACAGUCCUCCGCCCGCCGUCGUACCACCCCCACCCGUGCUUCCUCCGUCGGUUGGCUGCAACAAGUCGGCAGCGCCGCGCCCGCCUCCCGACGCCCCAAGCCCCCAAUCGCUCCUCCUCCAUUUCCCACCCAUCCAGAAGUCCGCCGGCGCAGAGGGACCAGGGUUCGCCGCCAGCAGAUGCAGUUGCAGGAGCAGGGUUCGCCGCCAGCGCCAGUAGACGCAGGAGCUCGGCGGAUCCACAUCGGAGGCGAGCUGAUCCUCUACAGAAGGUGCCCCGCUGCUCCUCCCGUAGUCCUGCUGCUCCCGUAUUUGAUUAAUUUCUCCGGCUGCGAAUCGACUCAUGGGGGAAGAAACAGUUUUAGACGACAACGCCCUGGCUUUCUCGGCGGGUACGUAAUCCCCGUCCAGGGACGGGGAUGGGGAUGGGGUGAAAGUGAAAAACCCUCCCCUGCGAGGUUUUACGGGGACGAGGACGGGGAUGGGGAAGCGUUCCCCGACGGCGAAUUUCCCGUUGCCAUCCGCUCGUCUGUGAUGCUGGAUACGACGAGGCCAUGGCCAUCGAGGCCCAUCUACCACAACGACGACGGCACUGCCUUUCUUCCAUGGCCACCCGUGGUUUCGCUGAAUCAGUGGUCCCAAACUGUCAUUUUGGAGUCGUUAUUUCUCCUCCUCCAAAACGCGAGGAGUAGCCAUCGACAUUCCGCUCGCUCAGGCGUUUAAUUUUGUCCACAAAAGCCGGGAUCAGCCGUUACUGGGCGUCUCUUUCUCUCGCUGAAACGAUUGCACGUGUCCUGUUGCUAGUAAUAAACUGGACAACGAGCGGGGCAGCUCAACAAGAGGCACAGCCAAACGAGAGAGAGAGAGAGGAGAGGAGAAAGGGAGGGAGGGCCGCCGCGCAUCCAUCCGUCCGGAGAUAAGAGGGGAGUGGAAGAAAAGAGGAGAAGAUGAGCAGCUGACUUUGCCUCCCCCGUUAUAAAAGGGAGGAGGGGGCAGGGAGGAAGCCGUCCAUAGAUUCCUCCGCCUCGUCACUCCACUCCUUGAGAUUUGAGAACCACAAGGGCCACCCCCCACCCACCCUCCAAGGUCCGUCCCCUCCUCCUCCUCCUCCUCCCUCACCUUCAGCACCAUCCUCUCCAUUCCUCCACACAGCAAUAUCUGUCAAUCCCCCCCGUUUUGUUUUCCUCUGUUGCAAUCAGUAGCGUGUACCCUGUAGCUGUAGCUUCCACUUUCUUGCUGUGUCGUACUGUGAUGGUGCAAAGAAGAUUCCUGUUCCCCCUUUUAGAUCACCUUUGUGCAUGCCUUUUCUUGUGGUCCGUGGGCAAGGAAGGAGGCCGAAAAUUGCAUCAAUGCCCCUCCCUUCUCUCUCUGUCUAUACCCCCUCAUACUGCAUCACGAUCAAGAGCAUGUAUGCAAGUUGGUCUUUCUAGGGAUGGCGAACUGACCGGCGAUUUUCUGGUUAUUCGUCCUGCAGGACAUGGCGGACGCCGUCGACCGCUUGAAGACCGGGUUCAACAAGUUCAAGACCGAGGUCUAUGAGUAAGUCAUCUCUCUACUCGAUCAGAGAGCUGUUGCUUUCUGCAGCCCCGGCGUUUGGUUUAAUCGUUUCAGUUUCAACCCCAUGGUGCUUGCUUUUUUUUUUGGGGGGAACUCUGAGAGCUCCGACUGAUCCUGUGCCUGCUUGAUUUUUGUUUUUUUCGCAGCAAGAAGCCGGAGCUGUUCGAGCCUCUCAAGGCCGGCCAGUCCCCCAAGGUAUGUGCUACUGCCAUACUUCGCUCUCUUCUCACCUCCCUUGUACGCCGCUAAGUUUUUCGUCUCUAGCGACUCCGGCCGGCCAGUUUUCGGUUAUCUGUCGUACUCGUAGGUGCUGCUGCUCCCGUGAUCCUCAGCACAGAUCCUGGAUGGUUAAUUAGACAAAACCGUGUUCAGUAAAUUCGGAUUUUCCGUGGGCCUCUGGGCAACGUCCGACUGGCCCACAGAUUUGGUGCUACUCUUGCUUGCUGGUUGCCCAUCUGCCUCAGAGAACCGCGUCGCUGCUAGUACUAGGCUCUGUAGCUCAUCAGUAUCCCUGCAUUGCAAUGCACUAUUCAUCGUCCACCCUGUCGUGUCCCUGGGUGCGCACGCAGCCACGCCGGUAAGGUGAGGUCAAAGUUGCAGUAGACAAAAGGAAACCUUUGUGCCGGUACCGAGGUCAAAGUUGCAGUAGACAAAAGGAAACGGAUUGUCCUAAUUGCACGGCUUAAAACUGAGGUGACAGCUUGUCGCCAUUAUAUUAGCGGCCAAUUGGCAAGUAGUUCUGUUUGGAUAUACUACAUAACUAGUCCUAUAAUUGCUUUGUGCAACAGUGCAAGUCUGCACCAUAGGGCACAAGCUUCAGCUUUGGCACUACCAGUCAUAGCGCAAAAGAAAUGGUGUAGUGGGAUAUACAUGCAUGCUUGCAAAGCAAAAUCCUUCACAGCUCCCACCGGCCACCACUGUGCCGGGCACUAACCCCAUGUGCGGCAUGCUAGCUGGUGAUUUGCAUUUGUUUGGUAAAUUAUUGAGAUGUCGCCGUCCCUAUAUAGGCUCACUUUGCAGAUGACGGAUAUAGUAGUACGUUAGUAUUAGUAUAUUGAUUUUCCUUCAGUUGACUAGUAUAAACCUGGUGCAAGAAUCUUGCAAGUACAGAGUUUAUUGUUUUAAUUUAUAGGAGUUUUGAGCUGGCAUCGAUCCCAUGCGCCUAAUUAGUAAAUACUUCAUGAAAUGCAUGCAUGCAUGGUAUAGCUAGCUGGUUCUACUGGUUUUUCCUACCCAUGAAAAUUACUAGUAGUCAAAUAUUCUUUGUAGUAAAGGAGAAGAUAAAAGCAGUCUAAUUUGGCGUACUCAGUCUGUGGAAAACAAAGAACUACUCUGCACAUUGUUUGAAUUAUAAUGGUCACUUCCACCUACUAGCCGUGUUGAAUUCUUUUUUUGAACAUAUGGUCACUUUCAUCAUUACAUUUGAAGGGGCAGCAACAGAUGGUGGUGACCAGCCAUUUCAGAUGUCUCAUCAUUUCGAUUUUUUUGUUUGACACUCACAUACACAACACAAACACAAAGAGACGUGAACCCCAAGUCUCCUUUACCUUAUAUGAUAGAACAGAAAUAAUGCAAGGGGAGCCAUGUACUAGAUAAGAACAGGUGUGUAUUAGCAUUCAUCAUUCCAUGGCUAAUGUGUGGUCCAGCCAUGAUUGAGCACAGGCCCCACCAUUCACCUCACGGGAUUCUUCUUUCUUCAUCGUCAGUAUAGAAGAGGAGUAGUUGGUUUGGACGUGUCCUCUCCCCUCUCCUCUCACACCCCUUGCAAAAAAGUUAGGCGCAUAAUUGUUGGGCAGCAGGGCCUAUUGGCGGUUGCUUUAGCAUUGAGAACACUGUGUAUUCGCAUCCAUAUCUCACUGGACAUGCCGAUCCUCGAGAAAAUAUGCUUUACUACACUACAGAUGUAUGUCUCAGAGUAUAUAUACACAAAAAAUAGUGGAAGAUGAUUGCAUUACGCCAUGGGUCCUAAUCACCUUUGUAUCCCCGGGUCCCUUUCCAAAUCAUGGCCUCCCAAGUCCCAAGUGUGAGCUAAUCCAAGCCAGAACAAAUAUUCCAGCGUCCUGCCUCCCGAAGACUCCUGAUGGCUGAUGCUGCUCUUUGCCGUCAAAUUAAAGCUUAAUCUGCACUAUUGAUUUGGACACCCACAUCCCAGGGCCACAUAAACCCGUCACAUGAAAUUCGUUAUCUGUUCAUUCACUUAUAUGCAUAUAUGCAGCCUCCCUUUUGCCUACCAACUUGGCCGGAAAUAUUCUUGCUUGGCAGCCGGGAAUAGGAUAGAUAAGCGUGUUUUUCCUUGGCCGCUGAUCUGCCCCGGGAGCACACGGAAACCAGCUUAGAAUAUCCUCGUCGCAACUUGUACUAGUAGCACGGAAGGAACCUUCCUGCAGCCUGGAUUUUGUCCAUCCUGCCCCUGUAAAAAAAAGAGCAUUGGAACAACAAAGACAGGCGGGUCAAAACUCACAAAAGCUGCCGCCUUUUGGCUUUGGUUGCCAGCUUGCAAAUCCACCACAGCCAGAAUCGUGUAGUACUCCACUGAUCAGGACCGAUCUGCCUACCUGCUUAUCGAUAAGAGCCGUGGGAACUGGACUGAAUUUUGCCGGCUCUCCCUCUUUUCACCGACCUCUGAUGGUGAUCUUCCUCUGCUAACACGCAGUACAUGGUGUUUGCGUGCUCCGACUCCCGUGUGUGCCCGUCGGUGACCCUGGGUCUGCAGCCCGGUGAGGCCUUCACCGUCCGCAACAUCGCCGCCAUGGUCCCAGCCUACGACAAGGUACGCGUCCACACUGACCGACGCAUUGGACGUCUAAUUUUUUCAAGCCCGGCCGCCGUGGAACAUUGACGGACGACUAACAUGGUUGCCUUUCGUUUUUGUCACCUGCAGACCAAGUACACCGGCAUUGGGUCUGCCAUUGAGUACGCCGUGUGCGCCCUCAAGGUGCAGGUCCUCGUCGUCAUUGGCCACAGCUGCUGUGGUGGCAUCAGGGCGCUCCUCUCCCUCCAGGAUGGCGCACCUGACACCUUGUAAGUCAUCAUCCCUAGAAUAUAUACAAAUUUCAUUUAGGUUAAGAAACAAGACUCGUGUGCCUCGAUCGAUCUCGUGUCAUGAAUUUGAUCCUAGCAUUGUUGUCCGUUUGUUUGGUGGUGUAUGUACGCAGCCACUUCGUUGAGGACUGGGUCAGGAUCGGCUUCCCUGCCAAGAUCAAGGUGAAGAAAGAGCACGCUUCGGUGCCGUUCGAUGACCAGUGUUCCAUCCUGGAGAAGGUACGUACACCGUACACGCACGAGCUGUUAGUUAUUGGAUGAAUAAUGGAUUGGUUUUGCUCACCAAAGGACCUUGUAUUUUCUGAAUAUUUGUGCAGGAGGCCGUGAACGUGUCCCUCGACAACCUCAAGACGUACCCCUUCGUCAAGGAAGGGCUGGCCAACGGGACCCUCAGGCUGGUCGGCGGCCACUACAACUUCGUGUCAGGGGAGUUCGACACAUGGGAAAUUAAGAGCUAAGCUGCCCGGCCGGCCGCUUAACAACUCCUACCAUCAUCAUAAAUAUAUAUACUACAUACCUACCGAUAUGCACCCGAUCGAUGUGAAUGCGUGGAGUAUUACUCAUGUUUUCUGCAUGCAGCGACAUAUAUAUAUAUAUACCGGAUCGCCCAAUGUGAAUGUAAUAAGUAAUAGCAUUUUCUACCGCUUUUAUUUCUAACGCCGAGCUUUCAUGUACUAUAUAAUGUGUUAUAUGAUGAGUAAUUUGACCGCCCUGUGGUCAAAAGACAUCAGCUAUAAUCCUUUUUUCGCAAUAUUUAUUAUGAAGCGUUUACCUCUUGUACUGCCUUUACUGUUCAUCUUUUCUGUCUCUCUAUGAAAUGCUGAUAUAUGACACCAUUUAUGUGAG
rnacentral:lncRNA from 1 species